ACAGCAGUCGCCACGGUAAUACGAAGGGUGCAAGCGUUACUCGGAAUUACUGGGCGUAAAGCGUGCGUAGGUGGUGGUUUAAGUCCGUUGUGAAAGCCCUGGGCUCGACCUGGGAAUUGCAGUGGAUACUGGGUCACUAGAGUGUGGUAGAGGAUAGUGGAAUUUCCGGUGUAGCAGUGAAAUGCGUAGAGAUCGGAAGGAACAUCUGUGGCGAAGGCGACUAUCUGGGCCAACACUGACACUGAGGCACGAAAGCGUGGGGAGCAAACAGGAUUAGAUACCCCUGUAGUCCCUGUCUCUUAUAA
rnacentral:rRNA from 1 species